rnacentral:rRNA from 1 species
GACGAACGCUGGCGGCGUGCUUAACACAUGCAAGUCGAACGGAAAGGCCCUGCUUUUGUGGGGUGCUCGAGUGGCGAACGGGUGAGUAACACGUGAGUAACCUGCCCUUGACUUUGGGAUAACUUCAGGAAACUGGGGCUAAUACCGGAUAGGAGCUCCUGCUGCAUGGUGGGGGUUGGAAAGUUUCGGCGGUUGGGGAUGGACUCGCGGCUUAUCAGCUUGUUGGUGGGGUAGUGGCUUACCAAGGCUUUGACGGGUAGCCGGCCUGAGAGGGUGACCGGCCACAUUGGGACUGAGAUACGGCCCAGACUCCUACGGGAGGCAGCAGUGGGGAAUAUUGCACAGUGGGCGGAAGCCUGAUGCAGCAACGCCGCGUGCGGGAUGACGGCCUUCGGGUUGUAAACCGCUUUCGCCUGUGACGAAGCGUGAGUGACGGCAAUGGGUAAAGAAGCACCGGCUAACUACGUG